UGGGGAAUAUUGGACAAUGGGCGAAAGCCUGAUCCAGCCAUGCCGCGUGUGUGAAGAAGGUCUUCGGAUUGUAAAGCACUUUAAGUUGGGAGGAAGGGCAGUUACCUAAUACGUAUCUGUUUUGACGUUACCGACAGAAUAAGCACCGGCUAACUCUGUGCCAGCAGCCGCGGUAAUACAGAGGGUGCAAGCGUUAAUCGGAAUUACUGGGCGUAAAGCGCGCGUAGGUGGUUAGUUAAGUUGGAUGUGAAAUCCCCGGGCUCAACCUGGGAACUGCAUUCAAAACUGACUGACUAGAGUAUGGUAGAGGGUGGUGGAAUUUCCUGUGUAGCGGUGAAAUGCGUAGAUAUAGGAAGGAACACCAGUGGCGAAGGCGACCACCUGGACUGAUACUGACACUGAGGUGCGAAAGCGUGGGGAGCAAACAGGAUUAGAUACCCGUGUAGUCCCUGAGCGGGCUGGCAAGGCGCAU
rnacentral:rRNA from 1 species